UAUGCACCGAAGCCGCGGCAGCGAUAUGUAAAUAUUGUUGGGUAGGGGAGCGUUCUGUAAGCCUGUGAAGGUGGCCUGUGAGGGCUGCUGGAGGUAUCAGAAGUGCGAAUGCUGACAUAAGUAACGAUAAUGCGGGUGAAAAACCCGCACGCCGGAAGACCAAGGGUUCCUGUCCAACGUUAAUCGGGGCAGGGUGAGUCGACCCCUAAGGCGAGGCUGAAAAGCGUAGUCGAUGGGCAACGGGUUAAUAUUCCCGUACUGGUGGUAACUGCGAAGGGGGGACGGAGAAAGCUAAAUCAUCCGGGCGACGGUUGUCCCGGUUUAAGCGUGCAGGUGGACUGACCAGGCAAAUCCGGUCGGUUGUUAACACUGAGGCGUGACGACGAGCCACUACGGUGGUGAAGUGAUUGAUGCUCUGCUUCCGGGAAAAGCCUCUAAGCUCCAGGUUACCAUUAAUCGUACCCCAAACCGACACAGGUGGUCAGGUAGAGAAUACUCA
rnacentral:rRNA from 1 species